rnacentral:rRNA from 1 species
UUAAAUCAGUUAUAGUUUCUUUGAUGGUAAAAUUACUUGGAUAACUGUAGUAAUUCUAGAGCUAAUACAUGCAUCACGACCCGACUUUUGCGGAAGGGUUGCAUUUAUUGGUCUGAAAACCAAUCUGGCUCUCGGGCCAGUUUUUUGGUGAUUCACAAUAACUCGAUUUCGAAGCGGAUCGCAUGGCCUAGCGCCGGCGACAGUUCAUUCAAAUUUCUGCCCUAUCAACUUUGGAUGGUAGUGUAGUGGACUACCAUGGUGAUAACGGGUAACGGGGGAUUAGGGUUCGAUUCCGGAGAGGGAGCCUGAGAGAUGGCUACCACUUCCAAGGAAGGCAGCAGGCACGAAAAUUACCCAAUGCAGACUCUGCGAGGUAGUGACGAGAAAUAACAAUGCAGUCCUUGACAAAAGGAUUGCAAUUGGAAUGAGUACAAUUCAAAAACCUUAACGAGGAUCAAUUAGAGGACAAGUCUGGUGCCAGCACCCGCGGUAAUUCCAGCUCUAAUAGCGUAUAUUAAAUUUGUUGCAGUUAAAAAGCUCGUAGUUGGAUCUCGACGCGGGUCAUUUUAAUGGGCCGGUCUGCUAGCCUUUUUGCCUGAAAGGGUGAGGGGUUGGUGUGCACUGUCCAUCCCGCGUCAUUAUUUGCCUAGAUCGGUAGUUGUCUGCCCUUAACUGGGUGGGCUUCUUGCCCUAGGCCGUUUACCUUGAAUAAAUUAGAGUGUUCAAAGCAGGCCAGUUUUGGCCUUUGUAUAUACCAGCAUGGGAUAAUAAAAUAAGAUGGGAAUCUUAUUUUGUUGGUUUUGAGGGUUCCUGUAAUGAUCAAUAGGAGUAGACGGGGGUAUUCAUAUUCCGUUGUCAGAGGUGAAAUUCUUGGAUUUUCGGAAGAUGAACAGGUGCGAAAGCGUCUACCAAGCUCAUCUCCAUUGAUCAAGAACGAAAGUUAAGGGAUCGAAGACGAUCAGAUACCGUCGUAGUCUUAACUAUAAACGAUGCCGACCAGGGAUUGUAAGACGUUGAUAUGAAAGACUCUUGCAGCACCUUAUGAGAAAUCAUAAGUCUUUGGGUUCUGGGGGGAGUAUGGUCGCAAGGCUGAAACUUAAAGGAAUUGACGGAAGGGCACCACCAGGAGUG